rnacentral:rRNA from 1 species
GUGACUGCGUACCUUUUGUAUAAUGGGUCAGCGACUUAUAUUCUGUAGCAAGGUUAACCGAAUAGGGGAGCCGAAGGGAAACCGAGUCUUAACUGGGCGUUAAGUUGCAGGGUAUAGACCCGAAACCCGGUGAUCUAGCCAUGGGCAGGUUGAAGGUUGGGUAACACUAACUGGAGGACCGAACCGACUAAUGUUGAAAAAUUAGCGGAUGACUUGUGGCUGGGGGUGAAAGGCCAAUCAAACCGGGAGAUAGCUGGUUCUCCCCGAAAGCUAUUUAGGUAGCGCCUCGUGAAUUCAUCUCCGGGGGUAGAGCACUGUUUCGGCAAGGGGGUCAUCCCGACUUACCAACCCGAUGCAAACUGCGAAUACCGGAGAAUGUUAUCACGGGAGACACACGGCGGGUGCUAACGUCCGUCGUGAAGAGGGAAACAACCCAGACCGCCAGCUAAGGUCCCAAAGUCAUGGUUAAGUGGGAAACGAUGUGGGAAGGCCCAGACAGCCAGGAUGUUGGCUUAGAAGCAGCCAUCAUUUAAAGAAAGCGUAAUAGCUCACUGGUCGAGUCGGCCUGCGCGGAAGAUGUAACGGGGCUAAACCAUGCACCGAAGCUGCGGCAGCGACGCUUAUGCGUUGUUGGGUAGGGGAGCGUUCUGUAAGCCUGCGAAGGUGUGCUGUGAGGCAUGCUGGAGGUAUCAGAAGUGCGAAUGCUGACAUAAGUAACGAUAAAGCGGGUGAAAAGCCCGCUCGCCGGAAGACCAAGGGUUCCUGUCCAACGUUAAUCGGGGCAGGGUGAGUCGACCCCUAAGGCGAGGCCGAAAGGCGUAGUCGAUGGGAAACAGGUUAAUAUUCCUGUACUUGGUGUUACUGCGAAGGGGGGACGGAGAAGGCUAUGUUGGCCGGGCGACGGUUGUCCCGGUUUAAGCGUGUAGGCUGGUUUUCCAGGCAAAUCCGGAAAAUCAAGGCUGAGGCGUGAUGACGAGGCACUACGGUGCUGAAGCAACAAAUGCCCUGCUUCCAGGAAAAGCCUCUAAGCAUCAGGUAACAUCAAAUCGUACCCCAAACCGACACAGGUGGUCAGGUAGAGAAUACCAAGGCGCUUGAGAGAACUCGGGUGAAGGAACUAGGCAAAAUGGUGCCGUAACUUCGGGAGAAGGCACGCUGAUAUGUAGGUGAAGUCCCUCGCGGAUGGAGCUGAAAUCAGUCGAAGAUACCAGCUGGCUGCAACUGUUUAUUAAAAACACAGCACUGUGCAAACACGAAAGUGGACGUAUACGGUGUGACGCCUGCCCGGUGCCGGAAGGUUAAUUGAUGGGGUUAGCGCAAGCGAAGCUCUUGAUCGAAGCCCCGGUAAACGGCGGCCGUAACUAUAACGGUCCUAAGGUAGCGAAAUUCCUUGUCGGGUAAGUUCCGACCUGCACGAAUGGCGUAAUGAUGGCCAGGCUGUCUCCACCCGAGACUCAGUGAAAUUGAACUCGCUGUGAAGAUGCAGUGUACCCGCGGCAAGACGGAAAGACCCCGUGAACCUUUACUAUAGCUUGACACUGAACAUUGAGCCUUGAUGUGUAGGAUAGGUGGGAGGCUUUGAAGUGUGGACGCCAGUCUGCAUGGAGCCGACCUUGAAAUACCACCCUUUAAUGUUUGAUGUUCUAACGUUGACCCGUAAUCCGGGUUGCGGACAGUGUCUGGUGGGUAGUUUGACUGGGGCGGUCUCCUCCUAAAGAGUAACGGAGGAGCACGAAGGUUGGCUAAUCCUGGUCGGACAUCAGGAGGUUAGUGCAAUGGCAUAAGCCAGCUUGACUGCGAGCGUGACGGCGCGAGCAGGUGCGAAAGCAGGUCAUAGUGAUCCGGUGGUUCUGAAUGGAAGGGCCAUCGCUCAACGGAUAAAAGGUACUCCGGGGAUAACAGGCUGAUACCGCCCAAGAGUUCAUAUCGACGGCGGUGUUUGGCACCUCGAUGUCGGCUCAUCACAUCCUGGGGCUGAAGUAGGUCCCAAGGGUAUGGCUGUUCGCCAUUUAAAGUGGUACGCGAGCUGGGUUUAGAACGUCGUGAGACAGUUCGGUCCCUAUCUGCCGUGGGCGCUGGAGAACUGAGGGGGGCUGCUCCUAGUACGAGAGGACCGGAGUGGACGCAUCACUGGUGUUCGGGUUGUCAUGCCAAUGGCACUGCCCGGUAGCUAAAUGCGGAAGAGAUAAGUGCUGAAAGCAUCUAAGCACGAAACUUGCCCCGAGAUGAGUUCUCCCUGACUCCUUGAG